rfam:Oryza punctata chromosome 11, whole genome shotgun sequence.
GAUUUCAACUGAAAAAGUUAUCAACAACAAAGUUGAAUAACUCAUCAAGAUCUAAAACUUUUAUUUUGAUCAUUUCUUCAUCCGACAAAGUGAUAGUAACAUUAUUCAUAAAACUGACGUAUCUCUUAUCUAGUUUUAUAAACUAUAACACAUAUAUGUAAAAUUUGUGAACAAUAUUACUAACACUUUGUCGGAUGAAGAAAUGACAAAAAUAAAAGUUUUAGAUCUUGUUGAGUUAUACAAUUUUGUUGUUGAUGACUUUUUCAGUUGAAAUC